ensembl:processed_transcript 1700123M08Rik RIKEN cDNA 1700123M08 gene
GCGCUCCCCGCCAGUUUUGUGACGUCACGGAGGUCAGACAAUCCCUUCCAUUUGGCGCGGCUAGCCUAUUGGUUCCACGCGUGCGCGCGCCCCGUGACCACGCCCUGUUGCUGGUGAAGUAACAGCUGCUUUCAAGGUCAAGUCUGGAAUGUUCCAAGGCACUGGACAUGAGACAUUCAAGAGCCUGGAGAAGAGACAAACGUUGUCUGUGCAAGGCCAGAGACAAGUAAAGGAGCCAUGGCUACAGUUUGUGGACCAGUAGUCUCUGGACCCCCAGUCUUCAGACUCUUAGGCCAGGGCUUGAGUCUCAGAUUUUGUUGUUUGGCACAGUGAGUGAGCUGGGCAUCGAUAUGGAGUCAGGUAGAAUAGAAAACAGGACUUACACUGAUACAUUACCUUGGUAAAGCUGUUGUGAGUGAAUACAAGGUUGGAUGAAUCAAGAACCCUUGGCAACAAUUGAUGCUCAAGAAGGAGGUGACUGUCCGAGAAGUAAUGAUGCCACAUCAAGUUGGCUCAAUAAAGAUGCGCUUUGUGC